GACUACACCCAGUGUGGCACAUAGUCACUUCUGCUGCCUGCUGAUCAAGAUGCAGAAUUCUGAGCUCCUUCUCCAGCACCAUGCCUGCCUGGAUGCUGCCAUGUUCCCACCUUGAUGAUACUGGACUGAACCUGUAAACCUAUGCCGUGUGGUGUCUCUCAUGCCGUGUGGUGUCUCCUAGAACUCUGGGUGUAUGAGCAUCCUGAAACCGGAUGAGAUCAUGAAGAACUGGACACUAUCAUACGCAUGUCCUUGGGGCAUUGCCACACCAUGUGGUCAUCUACAAAGUUCAUAAAGGAGAACUGCACAAUUGAGUUGCAAAAUUUUUUUAAUUAAUUAUUAAUAAGUCGCAAGAAAUCUCAUGCU
rnacentral:lncRNA from 1 species